AUGUGGUUUAAUUCGACGCAACGCGAAGAACCUUACCAAGUCUUGACAUCCCUUGACGAUACUGGAAACAGUAUUUCUCUUCGGAGCAAGGAGACAGGUGGUGCAUGGUUGUCGUCAGCUCGUGUCGUGAGAUGUUGGGUUAAGUCCCGCAACGAGCGCAACCCUUAUGGUCAGUUACUACGCAAGAGGACUCUGGCCAGACUGCCGUUGACAAAACGGAGG
rnacentral:rRNA from 1 species